rnacentral:misc_RNA from 1 species
UCGCCCUGGCUAUUGAUUGUGGGAUUUGCACUCCCACCAAUGGCAUACAUCUCCCAGUGAGUAUAGUCGUUGUUGACUACAUGGAAGUAUCCAUGUCUGCACCUUGGCAUUCUCUGGAUGAGUCCCUCUCCAAAAUGGUUGUACGCGAUGGUCACUUGCAUUUGCUUGUCUCUUGUGUACGAAUCACUGUGGCCCAAUAG